GAUGAACGCUGGCGGCGUGCCUAAUACAUGCAAGUCGAGCGAACAGAUGAGGAGCUUGCUCCUCUGACGUUAGCGGCGGACGGGUGAGUAACACGUGGAUAACCUACCUAUAAGACUGGGAUAACUUCGGGAAACCGGAGCUAAUACCGGAUAAUAUAUUGAACCGCAUGGUUCAAUAGUGAAAGACGGUUUUGCUGUCACUUAUAGAUGGAUCCGCGCCACAUUAGCUAGUUGGUAAGGUAACGGCUUACCAAGGCAACGAUGCGUAGCCGACCUGAGAGGGUGAUCGGCCACACUGGAACUGAGACACGGUCCAGACUCCUACGGGAGGCAGCAGUAGGGAAUCUUCCGCAAUGGGCGAAAGCCGGACGGAGCAACGCCGCGUGAGUGAUGAAGGUCUUCGGAUCGUAAAACUCUGUUAUUAGGGAAGAACAAAUGUGUAAGUAACUAUGCACGUCUUGACGGUACCUAAUCAGAAAGCCACGGCUAACUACGUG
rnacentral:rRNA from 1 species